AUUGAACGCUGGCGGAAUGCUUUACACAUGCAAGUCGAACGGCAGCACGGACUUCGGUUUGGUGGCGAGUGGCGAACGGGUGAGUAAUGUAUCGGAACGUGCCCAGUCGUGGGGGAUAACGUAGUGAAAAUUACGCUAAUACCGCAUACGAUCUAUGGAUGAAAGCGGGGGAUCGCAAGACCUCGCGCGAUUGGAGCGGCCGAUAUCAGAUUAGGUAGUUGGUGGGGUAAAGGCCCACCAAGCCAACGAUCUGUAGCUGGUCUGAGAGGACGACCAGCCACACUGGAACUGAGACACGGUCCAGACUCCUACGGGAGGCAGCAGUGGGGAAUUUUGGACAAUGGGCGAAAGCCUGAUCCAGCCAUUCCGCGUGCAGGAUGAAGGCCCUCGGGUUGUAAACUGCUUUUGUACAGAACGAAAAGGUUUCUACUAAUACUAGGAGCUCAUGACGGUACUGUAAGGAUAAGCACCGGCUAACUACGUGCCAGCCGCCGCAGUAA
rnacentral:rRNA from 1 species